rnacentral:lncRNA from 10 species
GUUUCAGGGGCUCUAAGAAAAAGUCAUCUAAUGACACACUUUAGAAAUGUCAUUUGACUCAAUUCGGUUUUGCAGUUAAGAGGCUUCUUUUCCAAUAUUCAGCUGCCUCAAGUAAAGUGUCGAUUGUUGCUGUCUCAGUAACUCAUUGUCACCCCCCACCUGAAUGUUAGCCUCUCACAGGACCCGGGGUACCCUGUAGGGCGGGCACACUAUGGCAUGACACCAAAUGAGAGACUCAUCAUGUCUCAUCCCCUGAGUAUCUCCUUCACCAGGAAGGCAUAUCUCAUUGACUGAGCUUUAUCACAUGUUCUGAAGACAAGAGAAAGCAGAAUUUCUUGAUUCCUGUUUGGCACCUCUCUACUCUUUUUUAAAAAAAGCAUUUCAAAAAUAUUCAGGGAAUGUUGCAGUGAAUUUGCCUGACUCCAGCGAAUGGUGCCUGUGAAGUCCAGGAGCAUAGAGCUGGUGUAAGGAAGCUCAAAACCCAUUUGCAGAGAGAAAGAAGAUAAUGCCUCCGAAUGAGAACCUUUUCAGUUCCUGUUCUUUGGAAACACUUUGGGAAAUUUUUGAGGCCAGGAGUUCCAAGCUGCAGUGUGUGAUUAUCGUGUCUGUGAAUGGCCACGGCACUCCAGCCUGGGCAACAUAGCAAGACCUCAUCUCUUUAAAAAAGACAGGUCUGAGCAGCUCCUAGGGGCCAAUCCCUAUUCGAGGCAACAGCAGAGGGAAGACAAGAAGAUGGCUACAUGCACCCACCACCUGACUGCAGCAGCUCACAGGCCCCCCAGGGCUGGCAUUGCCUGACCCAGGGAAUGUGGCAAGGGGUGCCACCAAGGCAAACACAGGAGGAAUCUUUAGACGGUGUGCUGGUCCCCACACCAGCCUCUGACUUGAAGUGCCUCCAUUCCCCUAGCAAAUGCAUGAAACAAAAGUUGUGCAGGCCUCACGUCUGAUUGAUUCUCUUCUCUUUGUGGACAUACGUUAGACUUAGAAAUAAACUCGUAUUAAAAGAUAUUUUUAAUGGCUUUUUCUUCCCUUACUUAGAGGCAAAUAAUGAUAAGCUAUACUUCAGUAUGUAUUUUAGGCUUGAAAUCAU